rnacentral:rRNA from 1 species
UACGUAGGGGGCGAGCGUUGUCCGGAGUACUGGGCGUAAAGCGCACGCAGGCGGUCUGCUAAGUUUGGAGUGACAGUUGGUGGCUUAACUGCCAAAGUGCUUCGAAAACUGACAGACUUGAGGGCUUCAGAGGGACACGGAAUUCCGGGUGGAGUGGUGAAAUGCGCAGAUAUCAGGAAGAACACCAGCGGCGAAGGCGGCACUCUGGGCCGGUACUGACGCUGAGGAGCGAAAGCGUGGGUAGCAAACAGG